UCUUUUAGGGCGGGUCUAAUUUUGCACACAAUAUGUAAAUGGUCUUUAUUGGUGGUCCUCGUGGAGAUCUUGCCUAACAAGCUAUUCACAAACAUGCAAAUUGUAGCUCUGCAACGCGGUGCUGUCCAGUGACUUGUGCUCAGGAGCCGACCCGGAGAAGUCUGGCAUCUGAACGGGCUUUUUCGGAUUCUCGGGGACGUACUGCUUGCACAAGGAGACAAUGGAUCUGCUGUUUCCUGCAGCCCCGUCUCUGAGAUUGCGUGCUGGUAUUUGAAUCCAGGCACAAUACCUUCUCCUGCGCCGCUUUUGAUCACCGCUGCACCUGUGCGAUAACGUGCCGGCCAAAGGGGAGCGGGGGAUGCACAGCUGCUCACCUGCAAAAGGUCAGCCGUGGACGUGCGGCCGUAAAUUUGCAUUUUCUGAAGUCAGGAGGGAAGCUUCAUUACCUCAAAGUCAAAUGCUGCAGAGAGCCGGGCCGCCUGAAGACAUGCUAUGUAAAUCUGGGCUGUUUAUGAAAGUUAUGCACGGCAGCUUUCCAGCCUCCCAACAGGGCGUGGCUUACUCUCUGGUAGUAAAAAGUUUCUCUCAACAUCUCACUCCUCUCAGCUGAGUGCCGAGCUCACAGGAAAUCUGACUGCUCAUAGCUGAACCAUGACCACGGUGACUGUAGAGUACUGUAAAGACUGAAGCUACGCCUACCGCUACCAUGAGUUAGCCGGCGUCCUCCGGCAGAUUCCCGGAGUGAAGGUGAAAGGAGUCACCGGGAGGCCAGACAGCUUUGAGGUGUCCCUGGGGGAUGAACUCAUCUACUCAAAGCUGGAGAAGAACAGCUUUCCAGAUGCCGAGGAGAUGGCAAAGGUGGUGAGGGAGAAGCUUCCUGAAGGAGGCGCCAAGACAAAGAGAAGCAAAUGCUCGGUCCAGUAGGAGGUGGAGAAACGAUGUGCACACCGGCAAAAAAAAAGGAGAGAUUUGUUCUCUGGCCUAUUGGGCACUUCCUGAUGAAAAUAUGAAAAUCAGCCUAAAGAUUUUUGACAGCUGGUCACAAGGCCUCUGUGUGCCCAAACGAAUGAAUCUGAUCUGGCUUUCAUCGUGAAUCCAAACGGGUUGGAGCAGUUCUAGGGAUCCGGCUGCUGAUCGGCGCUUCUUUUUAUGACUGCACACGCCUAAAACCCGCGUGGCGUGUGCACGAUGCCAGUCGAGAAGCUUUUCGGCCGCCUGGAUUCGGAGGAUCUGCUUCAAUCCCAUCAAAAUGAUUAGAAAUGACAGGGGGUGGGGGAAAAAAAAAAGCUCUGUUAAGAUUUGUAUGUAUUUUGGGUUUCUUUGUUUAGGUCACUAAACGGAUACUUGGGUCUGUGUGGGAGUUUUAAUCGUUCCUUCGAGUCUACAUUCAAGACUCUUGGGACGUUUAAUUUAAUAUUUGCCUGACAUGUUUGAUGUUCCAUGGUCUAAAAUAUCUAAUAUCCGUUUUCCGCUGUCAAAAGAUGAUUACGGAGCAGCAAUAAAAACAUAAAAGCUGCGGUCAUUAUUAGAUUUCAUAUUUAUCUGAGUUUGGGGUUUGAAUCUAACCUCCCAUCUGACCCACUUGUGUUCCCACAGUAGCCUACCCACCAAAAAUAAGCUGCAGAGCUGAAAAAAAACCACAAAACAUGUUUUUCAGAUAGUGUCAUACGCCACUUGGGAACAGGGAAGCCUGGGAACAUAAGAGCAACCACCCCCUCUGAUAAACAUAACUUUUUAAUAGCACACGCAUUAAGCAAUAAUAUUUAACACAUGUACUUUUCUUUGAUCAAUUAGAUGGACACCAUUUAUUUGUGUGAAGCAGCGUUUAGCUUAACUAACCUGGUAAAUAUUUCUUUAAUAGACCCCCUACAUAACAGUUCUUGCAAGACAUAAAAUGAAGUAGAUUUUUAAAGUCUAGAUUAAAAUAGAAAUAUGCUUUAUUAUCCCACAGUGGGGAAAUAUAGGUGUCCAAAGAUAUAAUUUUCUUUGGACGCAGACUUUAUUAUGCUAAGCUACGCUAACUUACUACUAGUUGCAGUUUUCUUUUGGGGGGUUUUCUCCUUGAGUUACUGUCAAAUAUGAUAUAGCAGUUGAUUGAAUAUGUCAAACCUUUCUUUGGGAUGUUUCCUUUUUUGUUAAGGGGUUUUGUUUGUUUGUAUCUGGACCAGGGGUGUGCAAACUUUUUUUUUGUCACAUGGGCCAAAAUUUUCAAGUCUAGGGAACUCGAGGGCCAAAUAACAAUAACGAAACUAAAAUACACCUGAAAAUUGUGACUUUUUUUUUUUUUACCUGCACCACAAAAUAUGAGCAUGCAAUUAAUGAAUUAAAAUCAGAUUUAGGUGCAGUAAAGUCAGCAUUUGAGUAAUAGUUAUUAAAUGUGGUGCUAUUUACUUUGAAAUUAAAGAGACUGCGAAAAGCUUGUUUUUAAAAAGAAAAAAAAGUCCAACGCUUUGUGUUGUACCUAACAUUUUCAAUUGUAAACGGAUUAUACGUUUUUUGUAAUUUGUCUAAACCAUCAACCAGAGAUGGGCCAAAUUAUUUAUGAAUUGCAGCUGAGGGGCCGCACAAAGUCAAUCCGGUGGCCACCAAAGGCCCGCAGGCCGCGCUUUGGACACCCCUGAUCUGGGCCAAGCUAUUUGCAGACUUCAUGCUAAGCUGUGCUAACUUUCUGUGAGCUUAAGGUUUUUCCUUUUUGAUGUUGGUUUAAAGUGUGAGCAUUUGAGAAAGAAAAUGUCAGAAAUGUUUUUUUUUGAAUAUUUAUGAAGAACCUCGCAUCAUGAACAAGUGUACAAUAGUGUAAAGCAACGUGAGCUCUCUUUGGAAAUUUGCAACAAUGUGCUGUUGUUACAUAUUUUAUAACAAAUAAAACGGAACUGAAUGCCA